rnacentral:lncRNA from 1 species
AUUCUCUCUCGUCUGCCACCAUGAAAGAUGUGCGUUUCACGUUCCACUAUGAUUGUGAGGCCUCCCCAGCUGCAUGGAACUGUGAGUCCCUUAAACCUCUUUUUCUUUAUAAAUUAACCAGUCUCGGGUAUGUCUUUAUCAGCAGUGUGGAAACAGACUAAUACAGCGAUUGUCUCUAGAAUUCACUGAAUUGUAAACAAGGCUACAUAUACAUUCUGGUAGCGUCCUUUCUAGAUUCCUUCCAUGGCUGUUCCCUACUUCUUUUGUUAGUGUUUUCUUUUUUUUCCCUCUAGUUCUGUCUAUGUUGGGCACUUGCUGGGGAUGCUUAGAAGUCAGCCUAAGGUCCAGUAGGUCUGGUCCUGUUGUCCCUGGACUGUGCUGGUCUUGUCUUCCUGUUUUUUAUUGUUCUAGCACCCCUUUACUAACCUUUAGGCUAAUGUUUAAAUUGACCUUAGUCUAAAUGGCAUGUUCAAAGGCGAAGUGGCCUUUAUGAUGUGAUCAUCCUUGGAUUAAUUUUUAGGUUAUUAUUUCCUCUCUCAGCCUUGAUCCUUGGGGAUGCCAAUUUUAUUUGCUGGUUCUGCUACCGGUGGAGGGUGUCCAGGUUCUCGGUGUCUUGAACAUAAAUUGGACAAAACGUACAAAGAAAGAAAGAAUGAAGCAACUAAAGCAGAGAUUUAUUGAAAUCAGAAACAUACUCCACAAGGUAGGAGUGGGCCGAGCAUACGGCUCAAGGGCCUGGUUACAGAAUUUUCUGGAGUUUAAAUUCUCUCUAGAGGUUUCCAUUGGUUACUUAGUGUACCAUCCUAUGCAGAUGAAGAGGCUAAAGUGAAGUUACAAAGUUAUUUACUUGGUGUACACCCUAUGCAAAGUGGAUGUGUACACCCUAUGCAAAGUGGAUGUGUACACCCUAUGCAAAGUGGAUGUGUACACCCUAUGCAAAGAAGAGGAUGUUUCCUGUCAUAGCUGAAGUAGAGUUACAAAGUUAUUUACUUGGACUUAGAAGGCUGGGUUGGGGUUUUUCCAUUUAAUUUAGUUCUAGGAAGUCCUUAGGUUCCCUGCCUCCAGACCCUAUUUCCUGCCUCAGUUCCUAGUUCCAAUCCUUGGUUCUGGUUAAAAGUUUUCUACAGGCCACCUGAAUUUUAGACGAAAGGUUCUUUCUAGCGAUGUGGUGGUAAAUGUUUAACAACUUGCUUUUAGAAAAAAAAGAAAAACCUGAUUUGUAGCAUUUGCCAAUUUCUCUCGUGUAAAUACUACCACUAUGGUCAAUUUCAAAUCCCCAGUGUGAUGCCAUGGAACUCAGAAUUGGAAUGGAAUGAACGUAACUGACUCUCACUAGCUGGCUCUAUCACCCCCUUAGUCAGUUCUCUAACUCAUUUGUGGAAUGGAGAAAGCAACUUAAUUCUUUCUUAAUUUUUGCAUUUUGUCAUUCCCCACCCCUCCCCCCACCAUCCCUGGAAGACACACCAGGCUGAUCUCAUAGUUCUUCUGGUGAUUUUUAGUAUUAAAAUAUUCACUAAAGUCUAAUACAAUUGUUUAUUCAAGUUAAAACUUCUUCCCUAUUCCAGUUUGUACUUGACCUCAUCUGUAAGCCUACUGUUGAGCAGAAAAACAUGUACCAGUUACCAAUGCCAGGUGAAGAUUCCAACUAUCUGGAGGAUAGACAAGGUCAUCAUAAUGCCAGCCACCUGUAAUAGAAAUCCAAACACUUAUGCCCACUGUAUCUUAGUAUUGGAGUCGCCAAGGAAAACGCAGUACUGUCAAGCACUGGCUGGAGCAACGCUUUUACUCACAUAGAGAAGAGACAGGGUGAGAUCAGCUCCAACAAUGUGCAUGAGUCUUGCAUGGCUAGUGGGCCCCUCUGGCAGCCAAUGCAGGGCAAGAGGCCUUCACAUACCCAUCCUGUACUGCAGUAGUAGGACGCUGACCCUUCCCCUGUGGGGCCUGAAAUACUGAAAGCUGGGGGUGUGCUUGAGGGCCGUUGACACAUAUGAUUAAGACUAACAGAGGAGCACACACAGAGCCUGGAACUUGGCAAGGAAGUGUUCCAGGCACAAGGCCCAUUCUUAUGGGGCAGAGCAUGGGGACUGCCUUUCAUCUCUAUUUUUUUGUCUUGCUCUUUUACUCCUCCCACACCCCCGCCCUUGCUGCUUCCUGCUUCUCCGGGCUUAAAGACUGUAGUGGUGCAGCGUAUUGGUGAGUGGGAGAGAAGGCCUUAUUUCUCUGUUAGACUUGGUGGGUCUGGGGGUGGCAGAUGUCCCUAGCUGCCUCUUUCUCUUAUGGUACACUAUUAUGGCUUCCUUGGAGAGUCCUCCCUGAGGAUCUCCAAUUCCGGUUUUCUGGCAAGGAGCUUCCUCUUCCAGCUGGCUGUUUCCUGUUUCCCCUUAGAUCCUGGAUCUGUCUACAUCUAGCCUCUUUAUUCACUUUUGUCCUCUUCAACUCUAGACAUACAUCUGACACCAAUAAAUCCUGCCGUUUGGCUGUGUCUCAGGCAGGCUGCUACAGGUGCUCUCUCUCCUUUGGACUUUCUAAGAGUGAGGCUGGUACCAUCCUGGAAGUUGAAGGGACACAUGCCCUCCACCUGGUUCCCUUAAAGCCAUCUUCUCUUCACUACAGGUGAGGAAGGGAAGUGCCACAACACAGAAUACCAUACACAUCCUUCAUCUUCAAUCUCUUCAGCCUCUUGUGAACCCCAAAUAUCUGAGACAGGCCUCAAUCAAUUUAGAAAGUUUAUUUUGCUAAGGUUAAGGAUGCGCCUGUGACCCAACCUCAGGAGGUCCUGAUGACAUGUGCCCAAAGUGGUUGGGGCACAAUUGGUUUUAUGCAUUUUAGGGA